GAUGAACGCUGGCGGCGUGCCUAAUACAUGCAAGUCGAGCGAACGGACGAGAAGCUUGCUUCUCUGAUGUUAGCGGCGGACGGGUGAGUAACACGUGGAUAACCUACCUAUAAGACUGGGAUAACUUCGGGAAACCGGAGCUAAUACCGGAUGAUAUUUUGAACCGCAUGGUUCAAAAGUGAAAGACGGUCUUGCUGUCACUUAUAGAUGGAUCCGCGCUGCAUUAGCUAGUUGGUAAGGUAACGGCUUACCAAGGCAACGAUGCAUAGCCGACCUGAGAGGGUGGUCGGCCACACUGGAACUGAGACGCGGUCCAGACUCCUACGGGAGGCAGCAGUAGGGAAUCUUCCGCAAUGGGCGAAAGCCUGACGGAGCAACGCCGCGUGAGUGAUGAAGGUCUUCGGAUCGUAAAACUCUGUUAUUAGGGAAGAACAUAUGUGUAAGUAACUGUGCACAUCUUGACGGUACCUAAUCAGAAAGCCACGGCUAACUACGUG
rnacentral:rRNA from 1 species